rnacentral:rRNA from 1 species
CCUACGGGAGGCAGCAGUAGGGAAUCUUUCACAAUGGGCGAAAGCCUGAUGGAGCAACGCCGCGUGCAGGAUGAAGGCCUUCGGGUUGUAAACUGCUUUUAUAAGCGAGAAAUAUGAUGGUAACUUAUGAAUAAGGAUCGGCUAACUACGUGCCAGCAGCCGCGGUCAUACGUAGGAUCCGAGCAUUAUCCGGAGGAACUGGGUGUAAAGAGUUGCGUAGGUGGCAUAAUAAGUAGCUAGUGAAAUCUGGUGGCUCAACCAAUCAGACUAUUAGCUAAACUGUUGAGCUCGAGACCGUUAGAGGUAGGUGGAAUUUCUAGUGUAGGAGUGAAAUGCGUAGAUAUUAGGAGGAACACCAAUAGCGUAGGCAGGUUACUGGGACGGUUCUGACACUAAGGCACGAAAGCGUAGGGAGCAAACGGGAUUAGAUACCCUUGUAGUC